UAUUACUUCCGCUCCAAGAAUGAGACUCAAGAUCAGAACGAAAACAUUCCAUUUUCUUAGCUGGUCUUGCUUGGUCGUCAGGAGUGAGAUGUUUUCUUUCAACGGAUUAUAAAUAUUACUUUCACUGUCUGAAGUCAUGAUUCACUUUUAAACAUUAUUGUUGAAAGGAAGCUAAACAAAAUGUUAUUACUGAACAUCAGAUCUUGACAAUCCCCCUCUCGAGCACUUUUAGAACAGCGAUAUCCCUUCCGUAUCCAGCGGCACACUGGGUUGCUCUUUGGAAAGUCCCCUGACAAGUUAACGCCUUUCGUCGUACUUGAACUUCCAGUUUCACAUUCGGGAGAUGAUCACCCAGUGUAACCAGUGCCUGGUGCUGCAGUAUGGCCUGGGGAAACAGAGGACAAGAUGAAGCACUCCAUCAGAAAGAUUGGCAAAGUCAUUCUGCAGCAAAUUUUGUUCUGAGGAAAAUCCAAGGGGAACACCAUCUACAGCAACAUCGACCCGUCUGAUUCCGAUAUGCUGGGGCACCAGAGGGCACGGUCAGCAAGCUCUCCACCCACAACUUCAAGAUCCUCAACAACAUCAUUUUGACAAUACUUGUGCACUCCCAACUACCUUGUGAUGUAACUCAGCAGAAGAGACCACUAAGCAAAUCAGGAUCAUUUUUUUUUUACAGAUUUAACUGAUUUUUAGCUUUUAACACCAUCAUGUCUUACUCAUGAAUGAUAAAUGACGGCUGUUGUAUAGGAAAACUUCAUUCAUUUAUGAAUUAACAAACCAACAAAGUAAUCAAUAAUUCAAUAAGGGAAUGAGGCAAUACAAGGAUGUAAAACAGUAUGUAAAUACUAAAGGAGAUCAAGCACUUGCCAUACCCUUAAAAAAGCAGCUUAUCACAAAAUGGAUGGUCUACCAACAAACAUAAUAAAUCACAAAUGGCAAUAGACCACUUUUGGUUGAUAAACUUUCACUCAUUCUGGUUUUUUCCUCUGCUGGCUUUCCUCUCCAGACUUACCUGCGGGAAAAAGUAAAACGCCUUCAUUUUCUGGUUGUUUCCACCCUUGUUUCCCCACACACGGCAUUGGCUUGUGUAAACAGAGCUAGUGGCUGUUAUCAAGCCCUGGCUGCUCUUACUCAUGGCUCAUAUAUUCAUUACAUUACAUUUAGGCACUUAGCAGAUGCUCUCUUACAGAGUGAUUUACAAAACCUACAUCCUUUUAUUACAGUCCAUUUAUACAGCUGCUGAUCUACUGAAGCAAUUGAGGGUAAAAUCCUUGCUCAAGGCUACAAGCGCAGUGCCCCCUCCCUGGGAAUCAAACCCGCAACCUUACAAACCCAAUUGCCUUACUCUUAUGCUAAGCUGAUCGUGAAGAUGUACUGAAGCAAUUCAGGCUAGGGAGCCGGCUAUAUGAGUGAAACGCAACUGCCCCGCAAACAAUCUGCAAUGUUGGGGAGUAGAUCACAUGUAGUUUAAACUAGUAGUUUAAUUAAAUUUUACAGCAGUUUCCUGCUGGUUCAACUACAUUCAAAUUCCUGUAAUGGCUGUAGUAGUUAAUUACCUUUUGACAUUUUGAGGUGGAAAACAGGAGCUACCAACUACUUUUGGUCACAAAAUAUUUUCUUUCCAACCCCCUUUGACCAUCUCCUCUCUCUUUUCUCUCUAAUCCUGGUUGGUGAGAAGCACUUUGCUCCUCUAUAAUUGCCAACUUACAAUUGCCAACUGACACAUUGCUAGUUCUGUCCAUGUGCAAAAGCCAUUGCUCAGAAGUGCUUCAUAUGUGGGAAACACAACAAUGAUAAUUCUUGGCAAUAUUUUUGCCAAAGUAGUUUGAAGCCAGUAGGUUCCCCAGCAAUGACAAUUUGAACCUGCAUUCUUCUGGCUACAACCUUGGGUCCUUACCCACAAGGACUCACAGUGGCAUGAAAGUAAAAAAAUUUUGGCUCCGUACUUGACUUGGCAGGGUGAAGGACAUUGGCAUCCUGGAUGCAGAGCUGACUGUGUACUGUCGCUCCCUCAGCACAGCGUGACUGCAUUCCCUUAUGGCCCUCUGUUCCUCUAACAAGAGAAACUGCAGCUUCAACAACCUGCUGUGCAAUGUGAACAUGAGUGGGCGACACUCCAACUGUCACAAACUGUAGCUGACAUUACAGCUCCUGCACUGCACGUCAGUGCU